UAACAUGGUAAGUGUACUGGAAAGUGCACUUGGACAAAC
rnacentral:rRNA from 1 species